CAAGAUAUUCGAUUGACCAUAGAAGCUGCAUUUCAUAUCAAAUCAGUGCUAAAUCAUACCAGAAAGAACCACUGGACCUUAACUUAGGCAUAGCUGACAAACAGAUUAUGAACAUGUUAUGUCUUUUCCUUAGCAUCAUGCUACAUG